AAAUGAGGAUGAAGCCAAGUGUUUGGAGUUCUUGCGAAGAAAGAUACAACAGCCACACAAGGUAUUAUUAACUUUAUUACUUGUCAGGAAGAGGUGGGGGAAGCAGUUAAGAUUCGGCUAGAUGAGAGGUGAGUGUACUGCAUUACAAUCUCUGGAGGGUGUGGUGGGCAUAUGAGCUGGAAAGGACCAUUAUUUAUUUACUACUUUUGUUAAGUGCCUGUAAUGUGCUGGGUGCUAUGCUGGAUGUGUGUGUAACACAGACACAUAAACCAUUCAGGGUCAACCUUGCGUGGGUGGGAGGAGGUUAAAAGCACUUGCAUCUUCUUCUCCCUGAAAACAGAAACAUCUUCCUCCUUGGCCUACCAUGGUGCCAGCAAUCUCCAGCAUUAGCGAUGGCUCCUUGGGGGUAACCUGCAGAAGCUUCUUAACUGGGUUAAGGCAUCUUAUUACCUUGCAGGAGUAAGGCAAUCGCCAGCUCGGCUCCCACCUGCUCUAAGCGCUUGGUACCAGGGAGGGAAUGGGAGGACGCUUGCGGGAUAGGGAGGCGGGGGCUGGAAAUUGGCAGGGUGAGAGCUGGGGAAACUAGUCUGGGACGCAGCCCUCCUUGUCCCCCUUCUUCAUUCACCCCCUUGUUGAGGCCCUUGGCUUUUGCAUAAUGUACACCCUUUAAAAAAAUGUAUUUAAAGAGGCUGGUUCCUAUCCAUCCGACUGGAGGCAUCUCAGUGCAAGAGCAAAGCUAAGUCCUGCACACGCUCCUCCCCUCCUCCUCCUCCUUCUCCCCCCAGGUUUUCCCGAAUGUAUCUACUCCGGUUACAACUAGACGCGGCCCCUCCCCCACCCUCUCCCCUUGCUCGCGCGUUCCCUCUCUUCCUCCGUUUUCUGGUGUGCUGGAACGUUCAGCGGAAUAUGAUGAAUGAUCACCUGUCACAGCUUGUUUAUUAUAAUGCAGGCAAUCAAUUACACAUCCCCAAUGCUGGCCGGCCCGCAGGAAAUUUAUAUGCUCAGCACAAACCAAUGUGAAAAUGGAAUCUCAUUUGCCAAAUGUCUUUCUCCCCGUACAGCACGAUGAUUACAGUCUGUGUUUGUUUCAACAGUCGUGUACAACUGACAGUGCCAUCAUUUACUGCCUGGCUCAGGUCACGUUACUCUAAGGCUUUAUUUAUGGUGUUACGAAGGGCAGCACAGGAAAAGGACAAGGGUGUCUGUCAGGGAUGGCACUGUGUUAAAAAGUGGGCGUGCAAGGGCCGCAUUCCCGGGCAGCCGCUGCAACCUCAGCCCCUGGGCCCUUACCUCCGCAGCCUCUCCCAGCAUCCAGCUACCCAGACUCCAAGGCCCCAGGCGAGAGCCAGCUCUCGGUACCUGGAGCUCCACAGGUCCCAGAAUCGGGGUGGAUCAGAGUUCAAAUUCUGGUUCUGCUACUGUCUAAUUGCGUGCUGCAGGGACUCAAUCUCUUCAUCUGGGAAAUGGGAGUAAUAACCCUUGGCAGGAAUGUUGCGAUCCUCUGGGAUGUCAGAGGUGUUGAUGAAUGUUAGUUCCCGGGACUUCGGAAAGAGGUCCCGUUGGAAGAGAUGUGAAUUGGAAUUCACACCCUAUAUUAAAAUCUCCUCCAAUCUUCACCUCUGAGACAUGGCUGUCUCAAGACUGUUUUGUUUCCCUUCCUGGUGGAAAGCCCAGUAAAUGGGAAAGUGAGGCUGUCACUGCUGAGUGGCAUCCUGUUUUCAGGAGUUCUGGUUGGUCCCCAGAGUUCUGCUACACAAAAUGUUGACCCAAAUUUGUACCCCCACAACACUUGGUGUCAAGUGGGAGCUCAGAAACUGAGGGGCAGGCAGAUGCUUUUAUGUGUAUUAGGUUGUCUUUUAUUGUAUUGUAUAGUUCCUUUUUUUUUUUUUACUAUAUAUUUCUUUAUUAUUUGACACGUGUAUUUGUUUAAUGGCCCUCUGCUCCACCAGUAUGGAAGCUCCAAAAGGAAAGAUACCAGAUUGAUCUUGAUCACCUCUGCCUCCCCAGCACCUAGUCUUCCUUGGCACAUCGUGAGUGCUCGGUAAAUAUCUGUGGCUUUAAUGGAUGAAUGAAUGAAUGACUACAUGGCUAAACUCCAUUCUAGGGCAACAUCUGUGGUGCAGUGGAUGGGCCCUAGUGAAUGGAUAUUUAACGGAUAUCGUACUAUUCCUCAUCUCCACAGGGUCAGGCUGUGCCACAUCCACCCAGCCUUGCCUGGGGUCAUUUAUCCUACAUGUACUCAGAUCACGUGAACUGGUGAUGGGCCACCCAUGUGCCUGCCUGGAGACUCCUAUUCACCCUUCAGAUCAAUAUCCCCCAAAUAAACUCCCAGUCACUCUGGCAUCCCAUGUUGCUUUGUGAUCUCUGCCUCUCUCUAGACCAUUUGGCUCCUAUGCACAGGCAGCUAUGUCUUUUUCAUAUUUGGGUCCCCAAAAUGCACAGUGCGGUGCCUGCCUCAAAACAAAUGCUUUUCAAUCCGUCAAUCAAUCAGUUGACAUGGAUCAUCUUUUCUCAGCACUGAUGUAUGGACUACAACUUGGAAUUCCAUUAAAGCUCCUGGGGUCAAGAAAAAAAGUGAUUCAAGUUUAUUUAUUUAUUUUUUUUUGAGACAGAGUCUCAUUCUGUCGCCCAGGCUGGAGUGCAGUGGCACGAUCUUGGCUCACUGCAACCUCUGCCUCUGGGGUUCAAGUGAUUCUCACUCAUGCCUCAGCCUCCCAAGUAGCUGGGCAAGAGCCAGCACACCCGGGCUAAUUUUUGU
rnacentral:lncRNA from 1 species